rnacentral:lncRNA from 1 species
CCUUCUCCAAUGGCUGAAGAACAAGUAGCCCGCAGGACAGUUAGGGAAGUGGCAGUCCCACUUUCAAUGAACUUGACUUCCCCAAUUCAAAGACCGGCUGUUGGGGGGGAGUUUGAGUUAAAGCAUAACAUGGUGUAGCUUCUCAUCAACAGCGAAUAGUUUGCAGUGCUUUCACACGAGGAUCCAUAAGUCAACUUGCAAACUUUUAUUGAGCUUAC